AACGCCUGGAGCAGCCAGUUGCUGCAUCCGCCCUGGCGCUUCUCGCAGAGGGCCGGCAGACAGGAGAAAAGCAGAAAAACACUGAGAAAACUCAGCAGUUCACUGAUGUCUUUUACGGAAGCAAGAAAAGGAUGCUGAUCCGAAAAAGUUAUCUGUCAAUUGACCAGCACUGUGGUGCACCUGGUAGAACUGGGUUUGAUCCUGACCUCAUGUGGAGCUUGUGUGAUUGACUUUUUAGUUAGUUUAUUAUCGUCACGUGUACCGAGGUACAGUGAAAACAUUUUUUUGUUGCGUGCUAGCCAGUCAACGAAAAGACGAUACAUUACAAUCAAGCCAUCCACAGUGUACAGAAGAAGUGCUGCUGUGGAGAUAAAGAUUUGAAAGAAUAAAGUGAUUGCAGUGUAUGAUAGCAGAUCCCCUUCUGGGACCAGCACACAAAGAGUCCCCUGGCUUUUGCGCCAUCUUUCCAGGUAUUGCCUUCUCAAAUUAUCUAGCAAGCAGCAAGGUUAAAUAACAAUUAGGGAAAGGGCACAAGUGCCUGCCUUGACAGUGAAGUCCACAACAUCUGAUUAAAUGAACAUAAGUGUGAGCUAUUCAUAGUAUUGACUUGCAAUGAAUGAAGGAUAGAUUUAGCACUGGAUAGAUCCAACAUUCAUCAGGUAGUACACAGGGCUGUGGAGUCGAUACCCAAAACAUCAUUCUCCUUGAUUUCUUGUGUAUCUGACUCCGACCCCGACCCCUAGGUAUAAUAAUUCUAAAUCUGCUAUGAUGACAUUACACAAGAUAGCAUUUCAUAAGAACUACAUGAAUCAUCAGGCUACCUUUUAAACCCAUGUCCUUAAGGUUUUGAGUCUAAUGGUUGUAGCUAUGCUAUUGUGGCAUUUUUAUAGUUUAUUAUUGGAAAAAAAACAUGAUUCAUUAUGCUAAAAUAGGGAAAAAAAACAUAUAGGAAUAUGACAAAAUUAAAAUUCCAUUGAAUUAAAUCAAAAUUAGAAAAGCAUUACUCCAAAAUUUAUUAAACUAAAGCCACAGGUAUGAGCUAAAUUAUGACCAAAA